AAAGACAUUUCCUGGUGUGCUCAUUCUCUUCUGCUGCCCUGGAUAAUGUAACUUGUCCUUUGGCCUUUUGGCCAGCAGUCAUCCAAAUUGAUUCCUGAUGGCUUGUUCCUGCUCUCCUUGUUUCUUGAGGUGUUUUUACAGGGGAACAUGGUGACCCAGAUGGGGGAUUGAAACAAGCUGUCUGUAUCCCUUGUCAAUCUUUUCUUUCCCUUUCCUCACAGUUGAUGACUCCUGGCUGACAGGGACAAGCUGUAGUCUCUGACUGCUUUAUUCUGUUUCAUUUGAGGAGCGAGUGUUGGCGUCUCACCGGGCAGCCUGUGAAGAUUACCAGCGAAUCUCUGGCACUGAAGGGCCCCAGAUCUACAUGGGCUCUUUCACCAAACCUGCUGCAGCAGCAGCAGCAUCAUCUAAAGGAGCCUUUUCUCCCCGACUUGAGAAGUGGAGCCAGGGCAGUUUGUUCACCUCCCGCGCUGACCCAGCUGCUGCUCAGCAGCAGGAGGUCGAGGGUGACUCUCUGGAGCUACUGAGGAAAAUAGUAAACAAGGAAAAUCCCUGGAUGAAAUACACCAAACUGGAAGAUAUUGGAAGCGGGUGAGUCCAAACGCAGUUACUUCUACAUAACCAUGGGCCAGGUGUUU
rnacentral:lncRNA from 1 species